GAUGAACGCUGGCGGCGUGCCUAAUACAUGCAAGUCGAGCGAACAGAUGAGGAGCUUGCUCCUCUGACGUUAGCGGCGGACGGGUGAGUAACACGUGGAUAACCUACCUAUAAGACUGGGAUAACUUCGGGAAACCGGAGCUAAUACCGGAUAAUAUAUUGAACCGCAUGGUUCAAUAGUGAAAGACGGUUUUGCUGUCACUUAUAGAUGGAUCCGCGCCGCAUUAGCUAGUUGGUAAGGUAACGGCUUACCAAGGCAACGAUGCGUAGCCGACCUGAGAGGGUGAUCGGCCACACUGGAACUGAGACACGGUCCAGACUCCUACGGGAGGCAGCAGUAGGAAAUCUUCCGCAAUGGGCGAAAGCUUGACGGAGCAACGCCGCGUGAGUGAUGAAGGUCUUCGGAUCGUAAAACUCUGUUAUUAGGGAAGAACAAAUGUGUAAGUAACUAUGCACGUCUUGACGGUACCUAAUCAGAAAGCCACGGCUAACUACGUG
rnacentral:rRNA from 1 species